rnacentral:rRNA from 1 species
UACGGAUGGUGCGAGCGUUGUCCGGAAUCACUGGGCGUAAAGGGCGCGUAGGCGGCGCGGGGAGUCAACGGUGAAAGCUCGGCGCUCAACGCCGAGUCGGCCGUCGAUACUCCCGUGCUCGAGCACUGUAGAGGCAGGUGGAAUUCCGGGUGUAGCGGUGGAAUGCGUAGAGAUCCGGAAGAACACCGGUGGCGAAGGCGGCCUGCUGGGCAGUAGCUGACGCUGAGGCGCGACAGCGUGGGGAGCAAACAGG